UUAUCGGAGAGUUUGAUCCUGGCUCAGGACGAACGCUGGCGGCGUGCCUAAUACAUGCAAGUCGAGCGGACAGAUGGGAGCUUGCUCCCUGAUGUUAGCGGCGGACGGGUGAGUAACACGUGGGUAACCUGCCUGUAAGACUGGGAUAACUCCGGGAAACCGGGGCUAAUACCGGAUGCUUGUUUGAACCGCAUGGUUCAAACAUAAAAGGUGGCUUCGGCUACCACUUACAGAUGGACCCGCGGCGCAUUAGCUAGUUGGUGAGGUAACGGCUCACCAAGGCAACGAUGCGUAGCCGACCUGAGAGGGUGAUCGGCCACACUGGGACUGAGACACGGCCCAGACUCCUACGGGAGGCAGCAGUAGGGAAUCUUCCGCAAUGGACGAAAGUCUGACGGAGCAACGCCGCGUGAGUGAUGAAGGUUUUCGGAUCGUAAAGCUCUGUUUGUUAGGGAAGAACAAGUACCGUUCGAAUAGGGCGGUACUUGACGGUACCUAACCAGAAAGCCCACGGCUAACUACGUGCCAGCAGCCGCGGUAAUACGUAGGUGGCAAGCGUUGUCCGGAAUUAUUGGGCGUAAAGGGCUCGCAGGCGGUUCCUUAAGUCUGAUGUGAAAGCCCCCGGCUCAACCGGGGAGGGUCAUUGGAAACUGGGGAACUUGAGUGCAGAAGAGGAGAGUGGAAUUCCACGUGUAGCGGUGAAAUGCGUAGAGAUGUGGAGGAACACCAGUGGCGAAGGCGACUCUCUGGUCUGUAACUGACGCUGAGGAGCGAAAGCGUGGGGAGCGAACAGGAUUAGAUACCCUGGUAGUCCACGCCGUAAACGAUGAGUGCUAAGUGUUAGGGGGUUUCCGCCCCUUAGUGCUGCAGCUAACGCAUUAAGCACUCCGCCUGGGGAGUACGGUCGCAAGACUGAAACUCAAAGGAAUUGACGGGGGCCCGCACAAGCGGUGGAGCAUGUGGUUUAAUUCGAAGCAACGCGAAGAACCUUACCAGGUCUUGACAUCCUCUGACAAUCCUAGAGAUAGGACGUCCCCUUCGGGGGCAGAGUGACAGGUGGUGCAUGGUUGUCGUCAGCUCGUGUCGUGAGAUGUUGGGUUAAGUCCGCCGCAACGAGCGCAACCCCUUGAUCUUAGUUUGCCAGCAUUCAGUGGGCACUCUAAGGUGACUGCCGGUGACAAACCGGAGGAAGGUGGGAUGACGUCAAAUCAUCAUGCCCCUUAUGACCUGGGCUACACACGUGCUACAAUGGACAGAACAAAGGGCAGCGAAACCGCGAGGUUAGCCAAUCCCACAAAUCUGUUCUCAGUUCGGAUCGCAGUCUGCACUCGACUGCCGUGAAGCUGGAAUCGCUAGUAAUCGGGAUCACGCAUGCGCGGUGAAUACGUUCCCGGGCCUUGUACACACCGCCCGUCACACCACGAGAGUUUGAACACCCCCGAAGUCGGUGAGGGUACCUUUAUGGAGCCAGCCGCCGAAGGUGGGACCAGAUGAUUGGGGUGAAGUCGUAACAAGGUAGCCGUAUCGGAAGGUGCGGCUGGAUCACCUCCUUUCUA
rnacentral:rRNA from 1 species